rnacentral:rRNA from 1 species
AAGGGCACCACAAGAACGCGUGGAGCAUGUGGCUUAGUUUGACUCAACGCGAGGAAUCUUACCAGGUCCAGACAUAUUAAGGAUUGACAGGUAUAUUUUAUGUAUUUAAUAGUAUUAUGCUUAAAUAUGAGUAUCCUUUCAUUAUAUUAUGGAGAGAGGUGCACGGCCGUUUUUAGUUCGUGAAGUGAUUUGUUUGCUCGACUGUAAUUCGUAUAGAACUUGAGUUAAGGGAGUCGUGAUUUAAAUUUAUGCAUAUAAUGUUAAUAUUUACGAGUUUGUUUAUUGUUAUAUUUUUAUGUUGUGAUGUAUGUGUUUUUUAAUAUUAGUGUUUUGUGUUUAGGUUUAUGAUUUAUAGUUUGAGUUCUGAUUGCAACGAACGUGAUCGUAGCUUUUAGUAGCUUGUGUUAGUAUUUUGAAUUUAUUUGGUAACUUAUUUAUUUGUUAUUAAAAUUUAGUGUCAUGUGAAUCUUUAGUGAUUUCUGAUGUAUUCUAUUUUCAUUAUAUAUCAAUUUAUUUCAUAUUUACAACACAUUUGCCUGACUUUCCCUCGUUUGUGAGACUUAACAAAUCCUACAAUCAAAAAGUAUUGCAAUUGUGCAAAGGUUUAUCCUUGAUUUUGUUAAUAUGUUGAAAAUUGUUAUGUGUAUUAGCACUUAUUUGCACUAGAAGGACAGCUACUAUUUAUUAAAGUAGAGGAAGGUUGCGGUAAUAACAGGUCUGUGAUGCCCUUAGAUGUCCUGGGCUGCACAUGUGCUACAAUGAUUGUUGCAGUGAGCAUCUUGUUUGUAUACUGAAUCAUCAGUUUUAUCUUUCUUUGUUUAUUUGAUUGAUAUAGGUGAUUGGUCAGUUUAGCCUAUUUCGAAAGUUUGUAGGUAAGCAAUUUGAAGUAAUGAUUUCCGUUUAAUCAAUUUUAUUGAUUUUUAGAUUCACAAUAUAUUAUUAUCUUUUUGAUUAACAUUUAUUUUUUAUAUUUGUUUUAUUUAGAUUUUUGGUAUGUGUUUUUGUCAACUCAUAGUGGGGACAGACCAUUGCAAAUUUUUGGUCUCGUUUUAACUAGGAAUGCCUUGUACGGGUUUUGGUUUAACAUACCACCCGGAAUACGUCCCUGUCCUUUGUACACACCGCCCGUC